GACGAACGCUGGCGGCGUGCCUAAUACAUGCAAGUUGAGCGCUGAAGGUUGGUACUUGUACCAACUGGAUGAGCAGCGCACGGGUGAGUAACGCGUGGGGAAUCUGCCUUUGAGCGGGGGACAACAUUUGGAAGCGAAUGCUAAUACCGCAUAAAAACUUUAAACACAAGUUUUAAGUUUGAAAGAUGCAAUUGCAUCACUCAAAGAUGAUCCCGCGUUGUAUUAGCUAGUUGGUGAGGUAAAGGCUCACCAAGGCGAUGAUACAUAGCCGACCUGAGAGGGUGAGCGGCAACAUUGGGACUGAGACACGGCCCAAACUCCUACGGGAGGCAGCAGUAGGGAAUCUUCGGCAAUGGACGAAAGUCUGACCGAGCAACGCCGCGUGAGUGAAGAAGGUUUUCGGAUCGUAAAACUCUGUUGGUAGAGAAGAACGUUGGUGAGAGUGGAAAGCUCAUCAAGUGACGGUAACUACCCAGAAAGGGACGGCUAACUACGUG
rnacentral:rRNA from 1 species